rnacentral:rRNA from 1 species
GAUGAACGCUGGCGGCGUGCCUAAUACAUGCAAGUCGAGCGAACAGACGAGGAGCUUUCUCCUCUGACGUUAGCGGCGGACGGGUGAGUAACACGUGGAUAACCUACCUCUAAGACUGGGAUAACUUCGGGAAACCGGAGCUAAUACCGGAUAAUAUAUUGAACCGCAUGGUUCAAUAGUGAAAGACGGUUUUGCUGUCACUUAUAGAUGGAUCCGCGCCGCAUUAGCUAGUUGGUAAGGUAACGGCUUACCAAGGCAACGAUGCGUAGCCGACCUGAGAGGGUGAUCGGCCAGAUGGGAUCUGAGACUCGGGCCAGACACCGACGGUAGGCAGCAGUAGGGAAUCUUCCGCAAUGGGGGAGAGCCUGACAGAGCAACGUCGCGGGAGUGAUGAAGCUCUUCGGAUCGGAAAACGCUGUUAGUAGGGAAGAACAAAUGUGUAAGUAACUAUGCACAUCUUGACGGUACCGAAACAGAAAGCCACGGCUAACUACGUG